UACGUAGGGUGCAAGCGUUGUCCGGAAUUACUGGGCGUAAAGCGUGCGCAGGCGGCUAUUUAAGCUUGCUGUGAAAGCCCCGGGCUUAACCUGGGAAUGGCAGUGAGGACUGGAUGGCUGGAGUGUGGCAGAGGGGGGUGGAAUUCCACGUGUAGCAGUGAAAUGCGUAGAGAUGUGGAGGAACACCGAUGGCGAAGGCAGCCCCCUGGGCUAACACUGACGCUCAGGCACGAAAGCGUGGGGAGCAAACAGG
rnacentral:rRNA from 1 species